AUGGGGAGGCAGCCGUGCUGCGACAAGGUGGGGCUGAAGAAAGGCCCGUGGACGGCGGAGGAGGACCAGAAGCUCGUCAGCUUCCUCCUCAGCAACGGCCAAUGCUGCUGGAGAGCCGUCCCCAAGCUCGCCGGGUUGCUCCGGUGCGGGAAGAGCUGCCGGCUGCGGUGGACCAACUACCUCCGGCCGGACCUCAAGCGCGGGCUGCUCUCCGACGAGGAGGAGAAGACGGUGAUCGACCUGCACGAGCAGCUCGGAAACAGGUGGUCCAAGAUCGCCUCCCACCUGCCCGGCCGGACCGACAACGAGAUCAAGAACCAUUGGAACACGCACAUCAAGAAGAAGCUGAGGAAGAUGGGCAUCGACCCCGCCACCCACAAGCCCCUCCAGCCUGCUGCUGCUGCUACCCAUCAGCAGCCGCAGCGGCCUACCGGUGGUGACUCGCCGGAGCAGAAGGUGCCGGCGGCGGCGGCCACGGGAAGUCAGUCGGGUGCCGAAGAGGACAUGUUCUGCCCCGACGAGGUGCCGACCAUGAUGCAACUUCUGGACAACAUCAUCUUGCCAUGCGACGUCGUCGAACCGGCGCCGCUCGACAGCAGCUGCGGCACGGCCUCGUCACCAGCCGAGUCGUCCUCGUCCUCGUCGUCCGCCUCGGCGGCGUCGAGCGGCGGCGGCUUCGAGGACGACUGGCUGCCGAAGAUCAUGGAGUGGCCGGUGGAGCCGAUGUUCAUGAUGGGGCUGGACGUCGACGUGGUCACCGGGCCGACGUCGGCAUGGGAGUUCGAGGACGCCUUCAACGCGUACCAGAGGAUCUCCCUGUUCGAUCACCAGGAGACAUGGGCUUGA
rnacentral:rRNA from 1 species